rnacentral:rRNA from 1 species
UGGGGAAUUUUCCGCAAUGGGCGAAAGCCUGACGGAGCGACACCGCGUGUAGGAUGAAGGCCCUCGGGUCGUAAACUACUGUCACGCUAUAGGAACAAGUCAUAAGACUCUGACCAAAGCGAGAGGAAGCACCGGCUAACUCCGUGCCAGCAGCCGCGGUAAGACGGAGGGUGCAAACGUUGCUCGGAAUCACUGGGCAUAAAGCGCACGUAGGCGGCGCGCUAAGUCGGAUGUGAAAGCCCUCGGCUCAACCGAGGAAUUGCAUUCGAUACUGGCGUGCUCGAGGGUGGUUGGGGUGAGUGGAACUCCAGGUGGAGCGGUGAAAUGCGUAGAUAUCUGGAGGAACACCGGUGGCGAAGGCGACUCACUGGACCACUACUGACGCUGAGGUGCGAAAGCUAGGGGAGCGAACGGGAUUAGAUACCCCCGUAGUCC